CGGAGGAUCCGAGCGUUAUCCGGAUUUAUUGGGUUUAAAGGGUGCGUAGGCGGCCUGUUAAGUCAGGGGUGAAAGACGGUAGCUCAACUAUCGCAGUGCCCUUGAUACUGAUGGGCUUGAAUGUACUAGAGGUAGGCGGAAUGUGACAAGUAGCGGUGAAAUGCAUAGAUAUGUCACAGAACACCAAUUGCGAAGGCAGCUUACUAAGGUAUUAUUGACGCUGAGGCACGAAAGCGUGGGGGAUCAAACAGGAUUAGAUACCCUGGUAGUCCACGCCCUAAACGAUGAAUACUCGAUGUUAGCGAUAUACAGUUAGCGUCAAAGCGAAAGCGUUAAGUAUUCCACCUGGGGAGUACGCCCGCAAGGGUG
rnacentral:rRNA from 1 species